UAUUUCUAUGGUAAGCGGAACGACACC
rnacentral:sRNA from 1 species